AUACGGAGGGUGCAAGCGUUACUCGGAAUCACUGGGCGUAAAGCGCGCGCAGGCGGCUAUUUAAGUUGGAUGUGAAAGCCUACGGCUCAACCGUAGAACUGCAUCCAAAACUGUCAGGCUAGAGUGUGGGAGAGGAAGAUGGAAUUAGUUGUGUAGGGGUAAAAUCCGUAGAGAUAACUAGGAAUACCAAAAGCGAAGGCAAUCUUCUGGAACACUACUGACGCUGAGGCGCGAAGGCGUGGGGAGCAAACAGGAUUAGAAACCCUAGUAGUCC
rnacentral:rRNA from 1 species